rnacentral:rRNA from 1 species
UGGGGAAUAUUGCACAAUGGGCGCAAGCCUGAUGCAGCAACGCCGCGUGCGGGAUGAAGGCCCUAGGGUUGUAAACCGCUUUCAGCAGGGAAGAAAACAGACGGUACCUGCAGAAGAAGGUGCGGCCAACUACGUGCCAGCAGCCGCGGUGACACGUAGGCACCAAGCGUUGUCCGGAUUUAUUGGGCGUAAAGAGCUCGUAGGCGGUUCAGUAAGUCGGGUGUGAAAACUCAGGGCUCAACCCUGAGACGCCACUCGAUACUGCUGUGACUUGAGUACGGUAGGGGAGCGGGGAAUUCCUGGUGUAGCGGUGAAAUGCGCAGAUAUCAGGAGGAACACCAGUGGCGAAGGCGCCGCUCUGGGCCGUAACUGACGCUGAGGAGCGAAAGCGUGGGUAGCAAACAGGAUUAGAUACCCCCGUAGUCC